CGCCGCGGUAAUUGAGGGGCUGCGACACUGCAAAGGUACCAGUACUCAUGGCGGCGGCCGGAGCAGAACGAGGGGCGCGCACAAACGAGCAAAGCACGGCCCAGCGGGCUCCGAGCCACAUGAGGAGGGCGCACGAAGUCACCAACAGGGAGAAAGCCUCAAAUUUAUACUCCUCCUGCCUCAGCUUCUCAACUGAGAACUGAACUACAGGUGAGUGCAAUCACACCCAGUUUUAGUCCACCACAUCUAAUUAGAAGUAUUCUGUCAAGUUGUCCAGCAGAAUUUCUUUUUUCCUUCUUUGGGGAUUUUUUGGUUUUGUUUUUUGUUUUUUCCUUGAAAUAGUGUCUUAAUAUGUUGCCCAGGCUAGUCUUAAACUCACGAGUUCAAGCAGUUCUCCUGACUCAGCCUCUCUGGUAGCUGGGACUAUAAUUUCUACAACCGGCUAAUCACUUUCUCUCCCUGUCCUGGGAGUUGAAAUCAUGUCCUCAUCCAUAGAGGUAAGUGUGCUACUUCUGAGUUACAUCUCCAGGUGCGCUCUCUCUCUCUCUCUCUCUCUCUCUCUCUCUCUCUCUCUCUCUCUCACAUCCUGUACAGCAUAUAUCUUGCUUCUUUUUCCUCCAUCCCCUCCUUCAGCCCCUCUUUCCCCCCUUAUUUACAAAAGCUUUGUUUCCAUUCUGUGCUUUUUUUCUUGUCCCUUCUUUCCUUUCCCCCACUCCCUCCCUUGUUCCCCUUCUCAUUAGAACAUUUUCUUCUCAUUUCCCAAUAUCUAUGAUACAUUUUGGUCCUUAUUUACACUUUGUUUCUCACACCAGAGAAACCAUGUGGUAUUCACACGUGUGUGUCUGAUUUAUUUCACUUAAGAUUUUUUUAUUUUUAUUUUUUAAUACCGGGGAUUGAACUCACAACUGUGCACUUGCAAGGCAGGCGCUUACGCCACUGAGCUAACUCCCCAGCCCCAUUUCACUUAAGAUUAUGGUCUCAAGGUGCCUCCAUUUAGCUACAGAUGUCUCAGACUUGUAAUUCCUUUGAGACAGUGUCUUGCUGUGUUGCCCAGCCUGGCCCCAAGUUUGUGAUCCUCUUACUGCAGUCUCCUGAACAGCUAGGAUCAUAAGUGUGUGCUAUCACAUCCACCAAAUUACCUAAUUAAAUUGCAAAGAACUCUUAAGUCUCUCUCUCUAAAAUAGUUUCUUGUUUCAAACCACCUGGCACAACUAGGGCUUAGUGGUUAGCAGAAUUAAUGGAUUAUGAAUUUUUUUCUUAAAAAAUGAAAUAGAAUAAAACAUUCAAAUGUGUAUGAGAUGACUAUUUCAUGAAACUUCUAUAUACCGACUGCAGUAACAUGCAUUCCCUUGUCCUGGACUGUGGUCAGAAAGUUUGAAAAGCUGGGUGUGGAGGCUCACUGCUGUCAUUUCAGCACUCUGGGAAGCUGAGGCAGGUGGAUGGCAAGUUUGACUCCUCUCUGGGCAACUCAGUAAAACCCAGUUUCAAAACAAAAACUAAAAGGCUGGGGAUGUAGCUCACUGUGAAAACCUUGGGUUCAAUUCCCAGUACUUAAAAAACAAAGCCCUGCAGUAUUUCCCCACCUCAAAAAUGUAAAUUUUUUUCUAGAAUGCAACAAUCUGUCACAAAACCAAGCAUGUUUCAGGUUUGUGUCAACAUUCUUGACAUGAUAUCCAUUUGAGAUCAAACUGACUCUUCAGCAAAUGGUUGGAAUAACUAUAAACCUAAAAAUCACUUGUGUGUAAAAAAGAACUUUGAUUAUAUUGUAGACUUUCUUAAAAAGCAGAUGAAUGUGGGCUUCUGGAUUACAAAUUAUGCUUAGCUUCCAUCUGCAAGGCAGCCCUUUAAAAUAGCAUUCCUUAGUAGGUUUUUGUUUAUCCUUUUCUUUGCCUCUCUGUUGACAGCUGAAUAAAUUUAAAAUUUCUUCUAAGACUCACAAAGUCUUCUUUAUAUAAACUAUUUAGAGGGUGAUAGAGGAAUGAGGAAAUGUUUUUUAAAAACAAAAUUGGGACAACUGAUAGUCAUUUCAGUGAUCCUCUUUGCAGACCUUGACUUGUCUUACACAAGGACACAUGCAUGUGAGCUAACAGGUCCCCAAGGCAGUCAAGCUCAGCCGCUUUCCGCUGCGGCCCAAUGAAUUCAACACUCCUCAGUGUGGGAGGACCAAGAGCUUGGUCCCUGAUACUAAAAAGGAUCUGGUUCUACCACCAACUAGCGUGUGACUUUGGAUAAAUCACUUAAAACCUCUCCACCUAGGGCCGGGUAUUUAGCUCAGCGGCAUAAGUACCUGCUUGGCAAAUGUGAGGUCACGAGUUCAAUCCCUGGUAAGCCUCUCCACCUGACCUGGCAUCCAUGACAUGGGAAUAAAAAGAUACCUAGCUCCUUCCAAAGUACUGCUGUGUUUAAAGAUUAGUGCUUUUACUAUGCCAGGCAUGAUAUCAGUUAUCUAUAUAACCCAUCAAAACUGCUAUGAAGUAAAGCUGGAUGCAGUGGCACAUAUUUGUAACCUUCUACGGGAGGAUCACAAGUUUGAGGCCAGCCUGGGCAAUCAGUGAAAUCCUGUGUCAAAGUGAAAAAACGAGGUUACCCGGGUGUGGUGGUUCACGCCUGUAAUCCCAGCACUCAGGAGGCUGAGGCAGGAGAACCACUGCGAGUUCAGACCAGCCUGGGCUACAAAGCAAGCUCAAGGCCAGCCUGAACUGCACAGCAAGACCCCAUCUCAAAAAAAAAAAAAGGAAUAGGGAUGGCAGUCAGUUAUGGUGCAAACUACAGUACUGUGAAAGAAGGAGGAAGGAAGGAAGGAGAGACAGACAGAGGGAGGGUACAGAGAGAGACAGACAGAAAGAAAGGAGCCUUUAUGAAGUAAAAGCCUAUGUAUCUGAUGUGACUUGUGACUAAAUUAAUCUGAUGGUUGACCUAAAGUUAAUUACAUGGUAGAACUAUGAAAAAUAAUGCACACUUUAGACACAUUUACCUUAACUCAAAACACAAAAAUAUAUAAGCAUUCACUUUUGAUGUAAGACCAAGUCUUUUUGCUUGAGGAUGAGUCUAUUGGUUGGAGUCUCAUUUUUUUCUGCAUAAAUCCAACUCAGAAUGUAUCACUAUUGAUUCUAAUUUUGGUUUCUGUGAAAUGCACAUGAGCUAAAUACAAACAGGAUAUGACUGCUGAAUCUCUCAAAGGCUUUUGUUACUUUUUAAGUCUCUGCUGUAUCAUCCACAUGCAAACGAACAGUGAUUAUUUUUAACAGCUUGUCUUACUAGGUCAUUCCAAACCAAGUUAGUCUUCAUAGGGGCAAUCUUCACUUUGUAACUCAUAUCUCAUUAACUUAUAUAAUUAUUUAAUUAAAAUAACAAGUAAAAAAUUCUGUUGUACCAUCCCCUCCUAGAAACUGAGGUGCCAUGAAUAUGACCCUUAUGUGUACCUAAAAUGUACCAAUAAAUUUAAUAAUAAAAAGAAACUGAGGUGCAUAAACAAUGUCAAGUGUUGGGUGUGGCCAGGUAUGAUGGUGCAUGCCUGUAACCCCAGCUCUAGGGAGGCCAAGGCAGGACUGCUGAGUUCAAGGCAAACCUGGGCCAGACACAGGAAGAGCCUGCUGGGGAGGCAAGUGCGAGGGAAUUAAAGGGACAGCUACGAGGACUGACUUGGGGUGAGGCAGCAGUGGUAACACACCACAAGGACCCACAAGGUCCCUUGUCAGCCAGAAAGUGUGGGAAAACGGGUUACUGUCCUUCCACGCAGUGUUCCUGCUACCCCGACCAGUUUGAAACUACAAGAGGCUGUUCUGGUGUAUUCUGUGCAGCUGUCUUCCCACCCAUUAUUGGGCUGAGGACUGGGAUUAUACCAUAAAAGUGAGUAGGGAGUGGCUGGUGUCCAUCUCUGAGUACACUGAACAUAUUUCCAGUGACUAACCUAGAAACCCAUUAAAACACUAUAUAAAGUACAAUUAAAAAGGAAUCUCUGAAAGUUAAACCUAAAAACCAAAGAAAUCCCUGGGUAUGGUAGUGCACACUUACAACCCCGGCUCUUGAGAAAUUGAAACAGGAGGAUCUCUGAGUUCCCAGCCAGCCUGCGCUACAUACUGAGUUCAAGGUCUGGGGUAUAUAGAGUUUAAGGCCACCCCGAAAACAAAACAAAAAAUAAAAUAAAAAUAAACCGAACUGCAAAUUUUGCAAAAAGGGACUAGCCAACAGGUUGUUAUGGCUCCUGCCCUAAAGCUUCCUGCAGUCACAGGUGGGGCUUUCUGGAGGUGGCUGCACAAGUUGAUGCUGGGAUCAAUGGUAUGUGCCUACUAAAUCAAUCUACUGACUGGCUUGGCUUAGUUCUGGUGUGGAUUGCGGGAAGGCUCACGCUGCUGUGAGUGCUACCACCCUAAGAGCAGGCAGCCUGGCCGUAGGGAACAGAAAGGGGGUUACUGGGGCUGCUUGUUCUCUGCUGCCUUCCUGCUUUCUGCCCACUGUCAACACUUUCUCCUCUGCCAUGCCCCUCUGCAAGGUGACCCUGCCUUGGAGCCAGAUGAUGAUGAACUAAAACCUUCCCUCCUUUAACUUCAAGCGUUGGGUAUUUUGUCUCAGCAACAAGAAAAGUAACUAAAUGUGGGCACAUCAUCUGCAAGAUCUGACCUGAGAGCUGGACAUGAUGGCACAGGGCUGUAAUACCAGCUACUCAGGACACUGAGGUAGAAAGACAAUAAAUUCAAGCCCUGCUCGGGCAACUUAAUGAAACCUUGUCUCAAAAUGAAAAGCAAAAAGGCCUGGACAUGUAGCUCAGUGGUAAAGUGCUUGCCUAGUAGGCAUGAGGCCCUGGGUUCAACCCCCAGUACCAUGAAACAAACCAUCACAACACUGAGUGGAUCCCAUACAGCAGCAUCUGGGCUGGCUGGGAAUACGUGAGAUGCAGGUUCUCAGGCGCCAGAGCAGACCUACAGAUCAGAGACUCUGGGUGAGGCCUCACAGUAGGUGCCACUCUCCAGGGCACCUUGAUGUAAAAGUGAAAGCCACUACAGUAGAUGUGGAGGUGGCAGAAGCACAACCAUUCCCUGUAACAUGGGUGAAUCAACUGGCUUUUGCUGUCCUAAAGUAACUGUCAAACACUUUGAUAUCGAUAGGCAAAUUAUGAUAUCAAUGAAUUACUAUUGUCAAUUUUUGCAGGUAUAACAAUGGUAUUUAGUUUUGGUUUGUUUAAUUAUAUCCUUUUUUUUUUUUUUUUUUUUUUUUUGGCUUUUUCCAUUUUAUUGGUACCGGGGAUUGAACUCACGCCUGCCUUGCAAGCGCUUAUGCCGCUGAGCUAAAUCCCCAUCCCCUAAUUAUAUAUAGUUAAAAUUUCUGAACUAUUUAUAGAUAAAAUUAUAUGAUGCUUGGAAUUUGCUUUACAGUUUAAAAAAGGAUAAGUUGGGCAUGGUAGUGCGUGCCUAUAAUCCCAUGCACUCUGGGAGGCUGAGUCAGGAGGGUUGAAAGUCUGAGCCUAGCCAGAUAAUUUAGCAACUUUAGUUAGACCCAGUCUUGAUAUAAAAAAUUUUAAAAGCUGGGAUAUAUCCUAGUGGUAAGGCCACAGUAUCAAUCUCCAGUAUCACUAACCAAACAAAUAGAAAGUUAGAAAGCAACAGAAGUACAGAUGAUGCAAUAUUGAACAUGACUUAAAAAUCCAGAAGCUGGUAAGCUGGGGGUUUAGCUCAGUGGCAUAAGACUGACUGGCAAGUGCAAGGUCAAGAGUUUGAUCCCCAGUACCAUUAAAAAAAAAUUUCCAGAAACUGGAUGAUUUACACUAUGUGUUAUCCUAACCUAUCCUAUUCUCUUUCCUUUCUCCUCUCCCCUGUCCCCUGCCCCCUGUCCUCUCUUCUCUCUCUCUGACUAGAAUUCAGGGCUUUGGGCAUCCUAGGCAACCACUCUACCACUAAGCUGUGCCCCAACCCUUAGAUAUUUGUUUUAACUUUAGUGUAUUUUGGGGAUUUUUCUCUUUCCAAAAAAAGUAUUAAAAACCCAAAACAAAAAUAAAUUAAAAGGUUGUGAGUUAAGUGGAAUUAAUUACAAAAAGGGAAAAAGUAUAUAAUAAUUUUAUUUCAAGCACAGUAUUGAGAUACACAAAGUAAGUGUGAAUUUUUUUUUUUUCAAAAAGCCUACAGUAAACUUGGCAUGGUGGUACAUACCUGUCAUCCCAGGACUUGGGAAGCUGAAGCAAGAGGAUCACAAAUUUGAGGUCUGCCUGAACUACACAGCACAGCUCUGUCACAAAAGAUCAAGGCAUGAAAACCUUCAAUAUACUAACAUGGAACAAAAUGCUUUUUAAAACUAUUUUUCUCUGGUAUUGAGCCCUGGAAGUGCUGAACUACAUCCCUUUUUGAGACAGGGUUUUGGUAAGGUACCCAGGGUAGCCUUGAACUAAGUAGCUGGGACUGCAGGCAUGUCAUGGUGACUGGUAGCAUUUGUGGCAGAUAUAGGGGGCCUGGCUGUCAAAUCUCUGAGUGGCUCUUGACAAUUCUCUGAUGCUGUUUUAACUCCCUGAUCCCUCUGAAAUGGAUGACUUUCCUGGGAAACGAGGGGACCACGGUCCUGUCAAAGGCGUCUGAGUAUCUACACACAUUAGCUGCCAGGUUUUUUGUUGUUUUUUGAGAUAUGAUCUUGGUAUGUAGUUUAAGCUGGUCUUAAACUUGUGGUGAUCCCCUGCUUUAGCCUCCCAAGUGCUGGGAUUCCCAGCCUGCAGUGUGCACAGCUUCCAAUUUUCAAAUUAGCCUAGCUUCUGAAAUCUAAUCUGUUAACAAAUUCAGGUUUACUUGCAUUUAAUCUGCAUUUUUAAGUUUACUACCUUAGCAAAUUAUGAGUGCAACCUAAGCAGCCUUACAGAGACGCUAACAAUGGCUGGAGGUUUUUCUUUCCAGCAGUGCACCACCUCCUGUUACCUAGGAGAGUAGUCAGACAGCUGUAGGGAGGCCUCUGGCCUGAAAUGUCCUCUGCACAGUACAUCAUCAUCUAGAGCGCCACCAAACGACUGGUCUUGAGACUUUUUCAGGCGAGCUGUUUAAGAAGACUGCCUGAGGGGCUGGGGAUUUAGCUCAGUGGCAUAAGUGCCUGCCUUGCAAGCAGGCAGUUGUGAGUUCGAUGCCCGGUACCGAUAAAAACGAAAAAAGACCCCCCAAAAAAGAGAAAACUGCCUGAGUCUGCAGUGGGCCCUCGGAUCUCCUUGAAUGGCAUCCUGUGAAUGCCAGCUUUAUUCCUCUGUAAUGUGCCCUUGUGGUAGUGGUUUUAAGAAUACAGAAAGCAGAUGGCAUUUCUGCUUUUUCCUCUCCCUUUACCGCCUCCCUUUUCCUCUUUUUACCAUGGAAAUAUAACUUCUACACAGAAGCCUGAUCCAUUGGAAACUUUCAGAAGACUCCAGCUUCAAAGCCUGGGGGUGCAGGUGGUAGAGUGGACUAUGAGCUCACUUUACAAAGAUGGAUGCAGAGUUCCGGAGAACAUGGCGGGUAGAUAACAGCAGCUAUAGAGGCUCUCUGAGAUAGCCAGCUUAGAAUCCAGGAAUGGUGCAGUGUGAGGAGUCCUAAGCAAGGGGAGAUAUACCCUGCCGACCUAGGAACGAACUAAGCUGAGAGAAACCAACUGGAAAUGCAAUCCGGGUGCUACAACCGGAACAGAUAAAAUCUCAGUGCUGAAGCUGGAACCUGCGCCUCUGGAAGCUGCGAUUUGAAUUUCCUGCUGCCGCAGCUGCGACUGAAUCAGCACAGCAGGGAGAGAGAUGCGCGAAAGCUCUGAGAGUGGGAAUCAGCGAACAGAGUUGAGAGAGGGACUGGCAGGGAGCCCUGCAUCAACCUGUGGUGAGUCACAGGAACGGGGACCCUUCCAUAGACUAGGAGGCUCCAAUGUCCCAGAGGACAUUCUGGGACCUGGCAGACUAGAUGGAACGGGGCACUGCAGUGACUUUAGUCACAUAUUCCCCUCUCAAGUGGGAUUGGUGGGGAGCGCUCAGCCUAGGUGACGCUGCAGACGAAGACCCAGUAGGUGAGCCCAAACUAGGUCUCAGCACUUGGCGGUGCACCCUAGCAGUGAAGCCUUCAGUAGGUUGACCUGGUGGGGCAGGCCCAGUAGAGGCUGCCCAGGUCUGUGUCUCCCUAGUACAUUGCAGUGGGCGAGAACAACUAGCCAGCGCAAUUCAAACAAACUGUAACAGACAAAGAGAAAAAAAACUGGGCCUCCUAUAUUCACUUGUAUGGAAGGAAUAAAAAGUAUGGGAAGAGGAAGCAACCAGAAAGGGUCCUCGGCCCCCAAUCCUGAGAACACUGAUCCAGGAAAGGUAAAUGCAAAGGAGAAUGAGGACAGAAAACAUGCAAUAUCAGACACGGCACCAAUAGACAUAAAGCGAUAUCUCCGGAGCCUCAUAGAUGAGUUCAAAAGUGAAGUAUUUAACAAAAUAAAGCAAGAUAUAAGUAGAAUAGUUAGAGAAAUGCUAAGCACCACCCAACAAAAAACAGAUGGUGGAAUGGAAGAACAGAAAAAAAGGGGAGAAUUGUUUAAUGGAGAAAAUAGAGAAAACAUAGAAUAUGUGAAGCAGGUUCAAAGAGAUUACCAGGAAACUAAAAACUCUAUUGAAAGCUGGCAUAACAGCUUGAAAGAAACUAAGGAUAGAUUAUCUGACCUGGAGGACAGAUUUGUAAUUGGGAGCAUGAAAUGAAAAACUUCUUAAAAAUAACAAGGAAACAAACAGCAAUAAUACAGACGCUAGAAGAUGAUAAGAGGAUCUAUAACUUAAGAAUUAAGAAUGUAAAAGAAGUAAGGACACAAACAAAUUAACUACAAAGGCUAUUCACAGAAAUAAUCCAGGAGAAUUUCCCUAAUUUAGCAAAAGGUAAAGAUACUCAGUUGUAUGAAGCAUAUAGGACCCCAGCCACCUACAACCCAAACAGAGCUACACCCAGGCAUAUAAUAAUCAAAAUUCCAGAAAUCCAAUAUAAGAACAGAAUAUUAAAAGCUGUCAGAGACAAGAAGCAGAUCACUUACAAGGGAACACCCAUCAGAAUUACAGCAGACUUCUCGGCACAAACCAUCAAAUCACAAAGAGUGUGGAGGGGAAAUAAUUCAAGCUUCGAAAGAUAAUAACCUCCAGCCAAGAUUGAUAUAUCCUGCACAACUGUCCCUAGAAAUUGAUGGAAAAACAAGGUGCUUCUAGGAUAAAGAGGAACUAGGGGAAUUUGCAACCAACAAUUCAACUCUACAGAGAAUACUGUAGGACAUUCUAGAAAAAGAAAAAUACCAAGAUUCCAGAAACAGUGGCAGAGAGGCCACAAUGAAUGGAGCAGAAAGCGAAAUGAAGAAGACAAACUGACAAGUAAUGACAGAAAAAGAACUCAACAGAAAUGAGGCAGAGAAGUUUGGAUAGUAGGAACAGCUAUUUUGGAGAAAACAAAACAUCAUAAUAGCUAGUGCUGAUUAAUAUCAUUUUGUUUUGAACUCCCAUCAAGCUUUUGUUCUUCUGUCUCCAUCGGUCUUAACAUGUUGUAUCUAAUUGGAUUUUAUUAUACAUGAUAAUAUAAACAAAACUUUUAUAGACAAGGAGAUUAUACAGAAACCAUUGUUCAUUUUCUGUUAGUUGAUUCUAAAUACCCUGUAAUACUGUCAUUCUCUUGAAUGGUUUUACAUUGUCUUGAUAUGUUUGAUGCUACAGUAUAUGAAUCUAUACUCAAAGAUUUCAAGGAAAGAGACACUAUGGCAACUAUUUUUAUGUCGGGAUAUCUUGUGGUGAAACACUGUUUUGCUUAAAUGGUUAUGUUUUGACCUGUGCUGUUUUGUUGUUGCUUUUAUCUCAAUCUCCUUUUUUAUUACUUUUUUAUUAUCUUUUUAAUUAAGGGAAAAUAAAAAAUAGCAGUAACCCCCAUAGUAACCCACUUUCAUUUCCUAUUAACUUGAUUUGAAACCCUGUAUUGCUCUCACCAUCUUGUUUUGACUGAUUUUCCUCUAUUCUGUUUUGCUUGAUAGUACCAAGUUCGAGAGCAUAGGCAACAACUCUGAAGAUAGUAAGAUUCAUUAUGACGCCCAUUCUGAUUUGACUAUUAUCUUCUUUUGAAGUCCUAUAAUGUCUCCAUGUUUUGGUUUUAUUGGUUUUGUUCUUUACUAUUUUGUUCAAUUUUAUUAUAACUGAUGAUAUAGGCAAUUCUUUUUAAGAUAGCAAGAGGCAUUAUGGUAACCAUUGUUGAUCACCUUGUAUUUUUUUUUUAUUCCCCACCCUUGUAUUUUGUUUUUACAGUAUGUAUUAUGUCCGUCCUUUUGAUUUGACUUUGUUUUGUUAUGUCACACUUGGUUUUAUUCUCUUCAAAAAAAGUAAUAAGAACUGUGGGAGUACUAAGACCCAAAAUGUGUAAUUGUCAUUGUACAGGAGAGGAAAAGAAAGUGCUCUAACGGAUAUAACUGCAUGUAUAUUUAAGUGUGUACGACAGAUAACCUUAUUACUGAGUUUUGUUGGAUCAUUGAACAGAACUGUUUGCAGUCUCACUGUUUGAAUAUCCACUUUAUAUGCUUUAAUUUUGUAACUUGAACAACUAUUUCUAAGAUGACAAUAUGUAAUGUUGACUAGUGAUUUCCUACUGUUUAUUUUUUCUGAAAUUCUGUAUAACUUGUACCCUUUUUCUGUUUUUUUUUUUUUUCUUUUUCUCAUUAAAAAAAAAAAAGAAAGAAAGAAACAAAGAUGGAUGCAGAACUCUAAGGGUGGGCCCUGUUCUUUUUCUGCUGUAUUUUAGAUUCCCAUGGUCAUUGUCAUUGUCAUGAGCAGCAUUUACUCAUUAUUGGUCUUUUAGUGACAUGAAGGAAAGAUCAUUAAGAAGACACAAGUCAUCAUCAGCUAUUAUCAGUCAUCCUUCUGAUAAAAGUAACCUCAAAAUAGAUUUUUUUUCCUUCUUUGGCAUAAAGUCCAGGCUGGCCUCAAACUUGAUGUACUGUCCCAGCUGGAGUCAAAUAUGUGAUCCUCUUGCCUCGGUCUCCCGAGGGCCGAGAUUAUAGGUAUAAAUGAGCUACCACACCUUCAACUCCUCCUACAUCUUCGCCUGUGUUGGCUGCUUAAAAAGAAAAAAUGCAACUUAAGUGAGCUCCAUCUAGCUAUGAGAUAAGGGAAGAGGACAGGAAGCAAAACACUGCGUACCUAUAAUGUAAGAGAUUAGGAGCCAUAACCACAGGGCCUCACAUGCUGUGGUCAAAUGCUGAUCGUACUGCCCCCUAGCUGCUACACUAAGCAAGUGACAUUAGCUCUCCCGCCUCAUAUUGCUCACCUGUGAAAUGAGGGUAAAAUUGGAAACUGCCUUAUAAGGUUGCCUUAGGAUAUUCCAUAAAUAAUCCAUAAAAUGGUUGAAUUUAUCCAUUGGGUAUUUUAUCAAUUCCUGUGGUAACCUUAGAUAAGUUCCUUGCAUCCUAUACUUCCCCUUUAGGAGGGUCUUCUGUCCCUUAAAUGUGUCACCUCUAAUUCUGUAUGUGUGAAAAUGUCUUCACUUGCCCUGAGUCUCACUGUUUGGCUGUGCCCAGUCUAAGAUGCUGUUUUGCCCUCGGCACUCUGAAGAUACCGCCCACACUUCUGGACUCCAUGGCUGCUGCCACUGGCUCACCAGCUAUGACUUCAGCUGUGCAUGGUGGCACACUCCUGUAAUGCCAGCAGUUGGGAGACUGAGGUACAAGGACUGCUAUGAGUUCAAGGCCAGUCGGGCUACAAAUUAAAUUCACGGCCAACUUAAACUGCAUAAUGAGACCCUGCCUGCAAAACGCCAGUUAUGACUUUGUGGAUGAUGUGUUCUUUUUUUCCUCACUGACAUAAUUCUCGUAUCAAAGGAGACUAGUGGUGAAUGUAUAUAUUUACCUAGAGCUCCUAUCUAGAGACCGUGCUUACAGGACAGGUGUAGGAGCACCCUCUGAUGAAUCCAGCAGACAGUGACAGAUUAGGCAAGGUGAAGAAACCUGCUCAGGAGCCUCAUUUUUUCCUCCCUUUGGAGACAGGGUCUCCAGGGUCCAGACUGGCCUUGAGUUAAUUGUGUAGCCCAGGCUGGCCUCAAAGUCCUGGCAAUCCACCUGCCUCCGCCUCUUGAGUGCUGGAAUUACAGUAUGCACCACCACACCUGGGAGCAGCCUCUUUUUUUUUUUUUUUUUUGGUACAGGGAAUCAAAUCUAGGACCUCAAGCUUACGAGGCAGGUACUGUGCCACUGGGCUAUAUCCCCCAGCUGAGAGCCUCAUUUUUAAACUCCUAUGGAUCAUCACUUUCUUUUCCAGUCUUGCUUUCUAGUUCCUACAGUAGGGCAAGUCCAUAUUCUGAGCAUAUGAGGCAAAUAUGAUAAAAUAGUGCUUGAAAAGCUUUUAACUCCUAUGCAUCAAUGCUUAUCCUUAUGUUACUAAAAACUCAUCUAAAAGUACGCAAAACAAAAUACAUCUCUCCUUAUAGACAAAAUGGCUAAAAAUUUGGCUUCUUUAUUGAUGUUAAGUGACUUGGCUUUAAAAACUCCACAAACAGUUCCAAUUAAGCUUAGUUACACAGACUGAAUUUUUCUCCUGGCUCUCCAGAGAUCACAGAGUCCGCUUCCACAGCAGCUGGCAAA